GUUCAUAUAAUAAUACGUAUUUGCUAUGACAAUUAAUUAUAAUGCUUCAUUUUUUAUAGUUUAUAUUGAUUUGGUUAGAAGACUUUGAAGUGGUUAAACCAUAUAUAAAUUAGAGUUUUCAAGACCAAAUUGUUAAGCCACUGUGACAACAAACUCUUGUUCUUGGAGUCUAUCUAAGUUUGUUUUCAUGAUUAAUAUCAUCGGUUGUGAUUAAAAAAAAUCAUUGGUUGUAGUUGUACUAGAACAAAAAUUUAAAUUUAAUAAGAACACAUAAUGGUACUUUUUUGAAAAAAAGUUUUCUAAUAGAAACAAUUCAAAUUCAAUAAGACAACCUCCUUUUUGGUAUGGGGUUGUUGGUCUAAUUUAAUGCUAGUAUGUUGCCUUGCCUUUCUUCUUCAACCAUCUUCAUAUUUAUAACUUCCUCUCCUUCACUUUGCAGUCCCACAAUCUUUCAAAUAGCCACGUUCCUUUUUUUCUCCGUUGAUGCUACUUUUGUCUUUGACGUUGCUGAAAGUAAGAGUUCUGCAAGGAUCCGAUGAUGUUCACCGGUAACGCGAGAUAUUAGUGCGGUUCAAUCAAAUAGUCGUGUUCUCACUUGAUAGAGAUCGGUUUUGUUCGAUUGAGCCGUGCCAAUAUCACGCGUCAACCCAAAACGGUAAAGAUGGUUUUAUUAACCGUGAAGGUAUGUUGACACGCGACACAAACCCCAAAAUCCAAGUACAACUGCGAUAUAACACUUCUAUUUUUAGAAAGUAAAUAAGAAAUUUUAAGCAAAAAGAAAAAUAUGUAGUAAUAGCUAGAAUGAAAAUGUUGUCGUGGGUUUUCUAUCGCGAGGAGAUUGCAACAAUACAGAGAAUUAUAAGUUUUGAUUUGUACUUAUUUGCACUUCUGUCUACAGUUAAUUGGCUUGUUUUUAACGUUACUUAAAUAAAAGUGUAAGGUUAAU